UUAGGUUAGUUAGGAUCACCACUUUAUUUUAAGAAUGUGAAAUGUCAGAAUAAUAGUUGAGUGAUUUAUUUCAGCUUUUAUUUCUUUCAUCACAUUCCCAGUGGGUCAGCAGUUUACAUACACUCAAUUAGUAUUUGGUAGCAUUGCCUUUAAAUUGUUUAAACUUGGGUCAAAUGUUUCAGCUAGCCUUCCACAAGCUUCCCACAAUAAGUUAGGUGAAUUUUGGCCCAUUCCUCCUGACAGAGCUGGUGUAACUGAGUCAGGUUUGUAGGCCUCCUUGCUCGCACACACUUUUUCAGUUCUGCCCACAAUUUUUCUAUAGGAGGUAAGGGCUUUGUGAUGGACACUCCAAUACCUUGACUUUGUUGUCCAUAAGCCAUUUUGCCACAACUUUGGAAGUAUGCUUGGGGUCAUUGUUCAUUUGGAAGGCGCAUUUGCGACCAAGCUUUAACAUCCUGGCUGAUGUCUUAAGAUGUUGCUUCAAUAUAUCCACAUAAUUUUCCUGCCUCAUGAAGCCAUCUAUUUUGUGAAAUGCACCAGUCCCUCCUGCAGCAAAGCCCCCCCACAACAUGAUGCUGCCACCCCCGUGCUUCAAGGUUGGGAUGGUGUUCUUCGGCUUGCAAGCCUCCCCCCUUUUCCUCCAAACAUAAUGAUGGUCAUUAUGGCCAAACAGUUCUAUUUGUUUCAUCAGACCACAGGACAUUUCUCCAAAAGGUACGAUCUUUGUCCCCAUGUGCAGUUGCAAACCGUAGUCUGGCUUUUAUGCCGGUUUUGGAGCAGUGGCUUCUUCCUUGCUGAGCGGCCUUUCAGGUUAUGUCGAUAUAGGACUCGUUUCACUGUGGAUAUAGAUAAUUUUGUACCAGUUUCCUCCAGCAUCUUUACAAGGCCCUUUGCUGUUGUUCUGGGAUUGAUUUGCACUUUUCGCACCAAAGUGAGUUCAUCCCUAGGAGACAGAACGCGUCUCCUUCCUAAGCGGUAUGAUAGCUGCGUGGUCCCAUGGUGUUUAUACUUGCGUAUUAUUGUACUCCUCCAAUUGACUCAAAUUAUGUAAAUUACAGAAGCUUCUAAAGCCAUGACAUAAUUUUCUGGAAUUUUCCAAGCUGUUUAAAGGCACAGUCAAUUUAGUGCAUGUAAACUUCUGACCCACUGGAAUUGUGAUACAGGGAAUUAUAAGUGAAAUAAUCUGUCUGUAAACAAUUGUUGGAAAAAUUACUUGUGUCAGAUUUUUGGAUAUAAAUAUGAACUUUACCGAACAAAACAUACAUGAUCAUCAAAGGUUAGUGAUCAUCAAGAUCAUCAAAGGUUAGUGAUUAAUUUUAUCUCUAUUUCUGCUUUUUGUGACUCCUCUCUUUGGCUGGAAAAAUGGCUGUGUUUUUCUGAGACUUGGCUCUGACCUAACAUAAUCGUUUGGUGUGCUUUCAUCGUAAAGCCUUUUUGAAAUCGGACACUGUGGCUGGAUUUACAACAAGUGUAUCUUUAAAAUGGUGUCAAAUACUUGUAUGUUUGAGGAAUUUUAAUUACGGGAUUUCUGUUGAUUUGAAUUUGGCGCCCUGCAGUUUCACUGGCUGUUGAAGAGGUGGGUCUAGCGUCCCAAAUACCCUAGUGAAGUUUAUGCAACUGCUGUUUCAGAUCUUCAAAAAACUUUACGGAAAAAGCACACCAUGCUAUAAUCUGAGUACAGCGCUCAGAGCCCAAACAAGCCAUACAGAUAUCCACCAUGUUGUGGAGUCAACAGAAGUCAGAAAUAGUAUUAUAAAUAUUCACUUACCUUUAUUGAUCUUCAUCAGAAUGCACUCCCAGGUAUCCCAGUUCCACAAUAAAUGUUUGUUUUGUUCGAUAACGUCCAUAAUUUAUGUCCAAAUACCUCCUUUUUGUUCGCGUGUUUAGUUCCAAAAUCCAAAUUGAUGACGCGCAGGUCAGGCGAAAAGUCCAAAAAAUUCAUUACAGUUCGUAGAAACAUGUCAAAUGAUGUAUAGAAUCUAUCUUUGGGAUGUUUUUAACAUAAAUUUUCAAUAAUGUUUCAACCGGAGAAUUCCUUUGUCUUCAGAAAUGCGAUGGAACACAGGUCGCUCUCACGGGAGCGAGCGUGAUCAGCUCAUGCCAGACACCUGACUCAAAGAGCUCUCCUUCCCUCAUUCUUCACAGUAGAAGCAUCAAACAAGGUUCUAAAGACUGUUGACAUCUAGUGGAAGCCUUAGGGUGUACAAUAUGACCCCAAAGACACUGUAUAUUGGAUAGGCAAACCUACAAACCUCAGAUUUCCCACUUCCUGGUUGGAUUUUUUCUCAGGUUUUUGCCUGCCAUAUGAGUUCUGUUAUACUGACAGACAUCAUUCAAACAGUUGUAGAAGCUUCGGAGUGUUUUCUAUCCACAUCUACUAAUAAUAUGCAUAUUUUAGCUUCUGGGAUUGAGUAGCAGGCAGUUUAAUCUGGGCACCUUAAUCAUCCCAGCUACUCAAUACUGCCCCCAGCCAUAAAAAGUUAACAUACAGUAUGUAUCUGACUCAGGUUUGUUAGAUCUCUCCACUGUAGUAGCUGAUUUGUGAUGAGCUCCACCCCCUGCUCAUGGCAUAUUCUGCUCCCAAGUGCUUCAAUUUGACCUGCACCUGGUUCAACGCGUUCCUCCCGAACGUUAACUACUUUCUUUCUCUAUUUAUUUAGUUUAUUGAUCACAGCAGGAUGUGACUAUCACUCACAUAGACUUCUUGGCAUGGUAAAUGAUGCAUGAUUCAAUUCCUGCUGACUAACGUGUAUUGAUCUUGUAAGUGUUUGUAUACUUUUCAAUACAUUACACUAAAAGGUGUGGUCUCCAUGUUUCCAAGACUUAUAGCUAAAAGUCUUGAACUUGUCUCAAAUAUAUCUGUUCUGACACAAACCUGUCUUCUCUAAUGGGUGAAGAUUUAUGCAGUUUCACAAUAAAUGGGAGUUUUCCCUUCUGUUCUCGAUCCAACAAGGAUCAUUGAGGUUUCGAAUAAUCUAAUAAUAUUUCUCCCAGAGAUGUCAUGAGCACUCAAGAAAUCUGACCACCCAUGUAAUCAAAUAACAAUAAUUGUAUAUUUCUGGACAAAAAGUAAAGUGAAUUUAAACACUUCACCCUAGUUGUUCCUGUAAGUCACUCUGGAUAAUAAUGUCAGCUAAAUGACUGGAAUGUAAAUGUAUUUGUCCAAUAGAACAAAAUUGAACAUGUGCAAAGCAUACACAGAAUAUACACAGUAUUGCAUCCUAAUGAGUGAUGAAGGGACACAUAAAAAUGGAACAGGAAGCCAAGUAACACAAACGCAAACAACACUUUGCCCCUGAACUGAAGGUAAUAUGUAAAAGAUUUACAAAUGAUUUGGUUGGUGAUAGUUUGUCACACUGCUGUUUUUACAUUCACUUUCUCUGCAAAUGAGCCCUUAAGUUUAUAUUCCUUUAGUUACAUUUCCAGUCAAUGUGACAAGCCCUACUUUUGAAUUGAGAAACCCUGACCAACUUUCAUUUCUUCCAAUGUGUGGUCUAUAACCCACGUGUAUUUAAGAUUCUGUUUCUUUAAGUUAUGUUUUGUGUCAUGAGCCUGUUUCACAACUUCCUGCAAAAAAUAGCGGGCUCUGUCUGUGUUGCUCCUAUUUGUUAUUGUUUGAAUCCGGGAAGACGAUCUGGAUCCCAGUCAGAGGAAAACACCUCUUUUUGCAACCCAGUCUCUAAUUAAGGAUGUAUUAUAUUGUAACAACCCUGGGUUUAUAAGCGCGGAUAUCGGCUGUGCCACUUGAGCAUGCUUUUUGCGGUCUAUCAACUGUGCCCCAAAAGCAUGCUCAAGGGGCAGAGUCACUAUCUGCUCUUAUAAACACAGGGCCUUUACACAGCUCCCUCCUUUCAUAGAGCGUGUCAUAGAUUGCAACUCAAUGUCUUACAGGAAUGGCUCACUGGCCAAGCACACGCACGUUCGUGGAUUAGCUAACUUGCUUUGGCUGACGUUAGCUAUUAGCUGUGUACAAUGCCAGAGGAUUGUUUAAAAGAGAAACUCACAUAUACUACUAUGAGAUAGUACUCCCUUAUUUAUGUUUAUCAUCACCUUUUAUAAUGACAACAAUGCCUUGCGAGCCGGCUUACAUUUGUAGUAUAUCAUAACAUAUAUUAUUUACUCAUAGCCUAGCAGAGUGGCCUGGAACCAUAUAACUAAAACACAUCCCAUGACUGAGACUUAGGGGGCGAUUACUCAAACAUACUUCUGCAUUAACCCAGGCACAUUCUGUCCAGGUCAAAAGCACAUUCUAACCACAAACCAACUGUAAAGCACCAAACACAAUGGUCGAACUGAAGUUAUCACAUAAAUCCCCACCAAGGCAGGGAAACUCCCUAGCCUAAAGCACCAACGCUUAGUCCCAGUUCCCCCUAUUGCCCCCUAACUCAUGGCCUCUUGACACAUAUCUUGACACACACAUUGACACGCACGUACAGUAUAGCGCACGAACACACACACCCCACACUCAUUUCAACUGACAUCCCUGGACACACAAACCCCUUCUUGGACCACAGUCAGUUCCAGUUCCCCUUUUCUCAACCCCUUGACACACACAGACACACAGACAUCUCAACGCACACACACCCCACACUCAAGUCAACUGAGCUGGGGCCAGGAUCAGACAACUUCAAGAAGCACCAAUGGGGCACUGGCAAAGGGUCGGACAGGACCUGCCUCCAACCUCCACCAACCAGUCAGAUGACAGAACUACAAGAAUCAACAUACGUCAUUCUAUGUUUAAAUACCUCUGCACACUCUGUUUAGGGAUCCUUUUUCAGCUGACUCCUUCUGAGCCAAAUGAGAGGAUCCGUGCACGCUUUGUAUCAGAUAUCUUUACCUUUAAUAAACCUGCCUUGAAUCAUACCAUAUCCACCUGGUCCAGCGUCUCAACUUGGUCUCUCUCCUCCAGUAACAUCAAGAUGCGAUGAGACAGAGUAACCAAUCAGCUUCACUGCAGAUGUUCAACCCACCACCCCCACUGCCCUCCCUCCACAAGUAGCCACAUCCUCUUCUCCUGUUCAACUACUUUGUCACCACACUAAAAAUUACUAUUCUUAUACCCCUGUGCCCAUUUCAGUGGAACAUGAUCCAUCCAAGGCCUCAGCUGGAUGCCUAAAAUGUGAGAAAUUUAAACAAGAUAGUAGUGUAUGUAGUUCCAAGAAAACACACGAGUGCCCCUCUGUGUCAAUGUUGAAAUGCCACACAUGGAAUAUGUCAAAGGAGAUAGUGAUAUGAGUGAGAUCAUAUGAAAAUAAAGACACCUUCGGAUCUAAAAUGAGUGUGGGAUGCCCUCGUGUCUCAUUUUUUGUCAUUGCUGAUGAAAAUUGAUGAAAGAGAGGAAUGCAGCUAAAAAAUAAAUGUACUUUUUUUAAAUUCCGUUUUGUACUGUUGAAAACAGGAUGUGGGCAGUAGUACCCCAAAUAUGUAUUUGUUUGUUUCAUCGAUUCCACCCCCUCCCCACCAAAUACUGGUAGUUAUUUUAAAAACCUGUGGAACCACAAUCUGGUGUUUAAUAUGCUAUUCUUUAUGUUUUGCUGUGCUUUUCGCAAUAAAAAAUAAUUUAUACUUUCAUCAUAAAACAAAUGCAUCACACCACUCUGUCACGCCCUGAUCUGUUUCACCUGUCCUUGUGCUGGUCUCCACCCCCUCCAGGUGUCACCCAUCUUCCCCAUUAUCCCCUGGGUAUUUAUACCUGUACUUUCUGUGGCUGUUGCCAGUUCGUCUUGUUUGUUCAAGCCCACCAGCGGUUUGUCUCAGCUCCUGGUUUUCCCUCCCAGAACAUUUUACAUAAAUGAAAGUGCUGAACAAAGUCAAAUUGACUGCAGAGUCAGUUUCGCAAAAUACCUUGAGCACUGUUAAGUCUCUGAAUUGUGAAAGACAAUAUUGAGAGGGUGCUCAUCUAAUCCACAACUUCCUGUUUUAAAGAAAAGCACAUUUCAUAUAAACAUCUCAACUGAAUCCACAGCAUAACAGCUACAUUUUAUCCAUCAACCUAACAUCUCAAUUACAUUUUUGUAUUAAAAUGUUCUACAUCAAAAAUGGACAUGAUCUCAAAGAGAUAACAUUGUCGAAUUGGUAAAUACACUUUAGAAUGUAUGUUAUCCAUUAUCCCUAAGGCAUGACACCUAUCGAUCUAAGUAAAGCCAAAUGUUGGGGCUUGAAUUAUGCCUUCCACCAUGAACUUCUUGAAUUGUUCGUAAUUCUGGUGCAUGGGUAAACGCAUCACAACUCGCAAGUGUUUGCCUCAGGGUAGACCUUGUGUUCAGGCAGGAACUCUAAUGUUGGCUGUGUGUCGAAGCCAAGUGGGGGUAUUUCUUCUGCUCCUGACACAAAUUGGAGGACCAUUCCACAUGUAACUGGUGCCCCGGGUCCUGUAAAUUUGACCAAUCCGUUUCAAACAGGGUUAAUUUAAUCUGAACAUCACUUUAUUGAUACAUUGACAAUGUAGUUGUAUCCAAAUAUGAUAUGUUUUCUCAGACAAUAGCAAUCAUGAAUUUACCAUCGAUCUCUAAGAGGAAGACCUCCAGCAGAUUAGAACUAGUUCCUCCUGUCUCCUGCUGUUAGUACCCGCCGGGGAGCGUUUGGUAGGAACAGCUCCAAAAGGUCUUCAGAUGUCAAUAGCUUUGUGACACCAGCUCACGAAGCAUGUGUGGGUGUGCCCUCAGACAUUCUAGAAGGUCAAGGGUCUUCAGCAGUUCUGUAAAUCUAAAACAGGAAUUUUUGAUGGUGAAUCCAAAAGAUUACCAAAUAUUUAACAGUCAGUUCUACAUAACUACUUUAUUUUUCUCCUGUACUCACUGCUUAAUAGGUUCCUUCAGUCUGUCAGUGAGAAAUGCCUCUGUAGUUUCUUUCACAAACCUGUAUCACUCUGUCAAGCUGGUAAGGUAUUUGUACACCCCCAGCAUUGUGAAUGUGUCCAUUGCUUCAAAUGAUGUCAAUCUGGCCUCUUCCAGGCUGGCACCGGCUUGUAUAUGUGAAGGAAUGAAUUCCCUAGGUUUUAUUACCUAUUAAAUAUAUACUUUAGGUAACCUUUCUUACACUGUAAUGUUAAAAAAAGUUCUCAUUGAACUGAACCUUUUUGAGUGCGUCUCAGAAGGUAUCCUCCAUAAUGUCCUCCAGUCCAGGCGGGGGGGGGGGGGCAGUGCCAGCAAAGCAAACGGAAUAUCCGUUCACUCAAGAAAGGUGAUGCUGCUCCAGCUUGCACCAGACAGACUGCCACCAUUGCCCCCAAAGUCUGGUAUUGGCCAGUCUCGCGUGCUACAGAAAUAAUAAAAAUAAUAACGAAACAAACAAAUAUUGGAUGGAAGACAGGAAACGUCAUGAUAUGGAUCAUAUGAUAUGGAUCAUACGAUAUAUAUACAUAUAUAUAACAUUAAACCAAUAAUCAUACACAAAUUUCAGAGGAUGAUUUGCUUUACUUUGAAUGAUUGGCAACACUUGAUGGUAUAGGUAUGAUGCUUUGUAACAUGAGCAUAACAACUGUCAUUUAAUGCACAUUCAGAAAGAAGUGUACCAUAGCUUUGGUACAACAUUUACAUGAAAAACACUGUCUUUCUAAGACAAUUCAUAAAUCCACUGCUGGGUAAAUUAGAUUCUAAACCAAAUUCAGAUCCGUAGGUUUAGAAGCUAAAUAGGCAUUUAACUGUAGUUCCUCUUAAUAAGUGUUGAAAAUAUCAGCUUUAUUAUGUAUUGUAAUUGAAUAAUGUACAUACCAUCUCUGUUCAGCUCCAGGGAUUUGGAGUCCUCUUGCCCAGUGAACAAGCAACUAUUUCUGAUCUCCCUUAGGAGAAGGCAGGCAAGCUCUCGAAGUGGUACACCAUCAGAUGGAUUCCUCCCCAUACAUUUGUGUCUACAAACACUAUGCUUAGCUUGCAGGUGGCGUCGAGGAUGGCAGGACCUGGCUCUGAGAAACAUUUACCAUAUUGGCCAUAUUGUUCUCUGUCCACCUUUUUAGCCAGCCUGAAGAGCAGCAUCUUCAGAGAAUUUCUUUAAAAUAAAAACAUAAAAGCAAACAUUAUUAACCCAAAACAUAGAUCUCGCAAUUAUUCAGAACUUUUGAAUGGUUAAUAUCAAGCAUACUCUUCAUCAGUGGAUGCCAAGGCAGGUGGGGACCUGGUGAGUGUAGACACUUGUGAGGCAGGUGGGGACCUGGUGAGUGUAGACACUUGUGAGGCAGGUGGGGACCUGGUGGGUGUAGACACUGGUGAGGCAGGUGGGGACCUGGUGGGUGUAGACACUGGUGAGGCAGGUGGGGACCUGGUGGGUGUAGACACUGGUGAGGCAUGUGGGUGUAGACACUUGUGUGGCAGGUGGGUGUAGACACUUGUGAGGCAGGUGGGGACCUGGUGGGUAUAGACACUUGUGAGGCAGGUGGGGACCUGGUGGGGGUAGACACUUGUGAGGCAGGUUGGGACCUGGUGGGUGUAGACACUUGUGAGGCAGGUGGGGACCUGGUGGGUGUAGACACUGGUGAGGCAGGUGGGUGUAGACACUUGUGAGGCAGGUGGGGACCUGGUGGGUGUAGACACUUGUGAGGCAGGUGGGAACCUGGUUGGUGUAGACACUUGUGAGGCAGGUGGGGACCUGGUUGGUGUUGACACUUGUGAGGCAGGUGGGAACCUGGUUGGUGUAGACACUUGUGAGGCAGGUGGGGACCUGGUUGGUGUUGACACUUGUGAGGCAGGUUGGGACCUGGUUGGGACCUGGAGGCUGCUUAGUUUUGUGUUGGUUUAUUUUCCUGAAAAACCACAAUACUUUUCAGUGGUUCUCAAACUUCUCUGCAACCCCCAUAUGUUUCACAAUGUAGUAGUAGCCCAGAAAUAGCUAAACAAAUUCACCAAGUAUUGGCCUUGAUUAGUAGCUGAUAAGUUUAAUCUAUUGUAGUAACUCUGUAAUAUAUAAAAUACAUGUAACAAGGUGUCCCUGAGGUUUGACAACCACUGCCCUGUGUUAUUUUUUUUCAGAUAUAAGCAUGAAGGAGCACUAGUACUUAUGAUGUCAGAUUGUUGAAUCCGUCUAAAUGUGAAAGUAGUCACCUCCACCUGAUCCUCAGCCAGCCAAAUAGUGAAGAAAACCGCAUCUUUAACAAUCCCGCUGUCCUCCACUGUUCCUGCCUGGGCACGUGUGUAACUGGUGGAUGAAAGUAUCAGGGGCCCCAACGAACAUUACUAUGUCCUAUAAGCAUUAAGAAAAUUGCACAUUAACAAGUUUAAUGAGGUCCAAGACUUUUCCCGAGAGAAAGCGGAUAUUAUCUUGUUGUACUGUACCUGAGAAGGUUGAGAGAGGAAGAACCUCUUCCUCUUGCUUCCUCCAUCUGCGUACUUGAUGGUAACCAGUGUCCCCUCAGCUGGUUCAAUAAUUUGUGCAACAGCAUGAAUCCUUUCAGAAACAGUCUUUAAUGACAACGAAUCACAGAAUAAAUAUGUCCCCAUGUGCAGUUGCAAAAUGUAGUUUGGCUUUUUUGGGGGCGGUUUUGGAACAGUGGAUUCUUCCUUGCGGAGUCCUUAGGACUCGUUUUACUGUGGAUAUAGAUACUUUUGUACCCGUUUCCUCCAGCAUCUUCACAAGGUCCUUUCCUGUUGUUCUGGGAUUAAUUUGCUCUUUUCGCACCAAAGUACGUUCAUCUCUAGGAGAGAGAACACAUCUCCUUCUUGAGUGGUAUGAUGGCUGCAUGGUCCCAUGGUGUUUAUACUUGCGUACUAUUGUUUGUACAGAUUAACGUGAGAGGCAGCCCCAAACAUGUAUUGGGAGGGGGCACACGGGGAGUGUGGCGAAGUCAGGUAGGAGACCUGCGCCAACUCCCCGUGCUUACCGUGGAGAGAGAGGGCGUCCUACUGGUCAGGCACCGUGUUAUGCGGUUGUUAGAGGAAAUUAUAAGUUGAGAUGAUUAAUUGUGUAUACAUUAUUGAUUAGAACCAUUUAUUCUAAUACUAUUAUGUUAUGGUAUGAAAAGUAAAAGUUAUUGGUUAAGCUGUUACUGAAAAUGUAAGCAGAACGAAUUAAUUGUCUGUGCCUCCUGGGCGGUUUAAGGGGUAGCGAUGCUAUGGCUUGUCUGACAGAUAAGAAAUGUCUGGGAGACGUUCCAGGCCUAAUGAACAAUGGGCUCUUGUGAGAAUCGGAGAGAGGGGGGAUAAACUGAUGAUGUCAUGUUCAGUUUAUAACCUGUGGAAAAAUGUGUAUGCUUCAGUACUCUCUGGAAUUAAACGCUCUUACCUGGCUUUUAA